rnacentral:rRNA from 1 species
UGCGUAGGCGGUUAUGCAAGUUGGUAGCGUAAUUCCGGGGCUCAACUCCGGAACUACUACCAAAACUGUAUAGCUUGAGUGCGGCAGGGGUAUGUGGAAUUCCUAGUGUAGCGGUGGAAUGCGUAGAUAUUAGGAGGAACACCAGAGGCGAAAGCGACAUACUGGGCCGUAACUGACGCUGAGGCACGAAAGCGUGGGGAGCAAACA